rnacentral:misc_RNA from 1 species
UCAAACUUGGUCAUUUAGAGGAAGUAAAAGUCGUAACAAGGUUUCCGUAGGUGAACCUGCGGAAGGAUCAUUACUGAUUCAUGAGGAAAAGCAGAUGUGCUGACAAGGGGCCUCCUUUGCAUUGUGCACUCUCUUUACCUCCUAAAUUGACCCCUGUGCACCUCCUGUAGACGAGGAAAUUUUAUUUCCAUGUCUAUGUUUUUAUGCAACCCUGCAUAUAAUGUAUUAAAGUUGGAUUAUCAUGAUAAAUAAAGUACAACUUUCAACAAUGGAUCUCUUGGCUCUCGCAUCGAUGAAGAACGCAGC